rfam:Picea glauca, whole genome shotgun sequence.
GGGUGCGAUCAUACCAACGUUAAUGCACCAAAUACCAUCGGAACUCCGCAGUUAAGCGGGCUUGGGCUAGAGUAGUAUUGGGAUGGGUGACCUCCUGGGAAGUCCUAAUGUUUCACCCU